GGUGAUGGAUGGGUGACCUGUUCAUGGCGUGACCUUCCUUUUUUGACCCUAACUGGACCUCACCAGGAGGAAUGGAGAGUUCUUUCUCUGAAUGGAAACACGCUUGAGCCCUACAGGGAAGUAAGCAAUAUCACACUCGAUACUCCCUGGAAAUGUGCACAAACAAUGGAAAAACUUAUGUAUGUUAACAAAUUUCUUAAGUUUACAGCCUCGUAAUGAAGGAGUAGUGCUGCUCCUCCUGCUGUGUUAGCACGGUGGACAAGCAAAUGGAGAGAAACAUAGCUGUGGUUGCAGCUUCGGAUGAAGCAUGUGCACAGGCUUAAGUCUGGUGUGCAGCUUUAUAUAUCUGAGCACAUGUUUUUACUGAAUCUCAUAGCCUCUUCAUCUGGUCUUCAUUUGGUUACAAAUGUUUCAGCGCUUCUGUACUUCACUGCCUCCACAUGUUUGUCAGACAAAAGGCCAAGAUGAGUUGGAAAGAGACAUUAAGAUGUGUGAAAUGCAAAGCCGAGUGCAUCAGUGCAUGUUGAUUUAAAAAAUAUGUCACACCAUCUUAUAGAUACAAUAUGUAGCAGGAAUAACUGAGAUGCUUUGUCCAUUGCUGGUUUGUGAAUGUUUUAGAGAUACAGGACAUUUUUUUUACUUAACUUGUGAUUUAUUAUAUCCCACAAUGUUUCUGUGCUACUUCACAUGUCAGAGUGAAGUAGUACUCUGACAUGUCUGCGUUUUCUACGUUUUCUCAGAUAACACAAAAGUUCAGUUGUCUCCAUUCCUUAUAUAGGUUAUCUGGUGUUCUUCAUUCUGUGUUCACUGUUUCUAAUGCCUUAUUAACAACUAAGGUCCUGCUUCUGCAGUUGUUUUAGUUCUGUAUGCGAUCUUUGUAUCAUCUGCGAUAUUUCCAUAAUUUCAUUAUUUUCUAGCUUAAUUAUGAUUCAGACCACUAUGUCUAAAAAUAAAUCCAGACAUAAAUCGAUUCAGGCAUGUCCUCUUAAUUAAAUGCAACCAAACUGCAUUAGUGCAGAGAGAACUUUAAUUCUAAGAUAAUUUAAAGUGUAAAUCUCGCUUUGCAUGUAGUCAAAUAGUUUGACAAAUACUCAAAAUCUAAAUUACUCCUGCUUUGAGGUCACUAAUCUUGUGCAAAACUUGAUUUGAUCAAAGAGCAAGGCUGGAACAAAAAAGUAAAUUGUUACAUCACUAAAAAAAAUGUUCUUCUGUGAGUAAGGCAAAUUAGCUGCUGAAGUAAAACACACACAACUCAAGUGGAUUCAGAAAGUCACAUUGGGAUAUAAGAGUAUAUUUAGACCAUGCACUGAAAGCUUUUAUUUUCCAAGACAAAGUAAGUGCCAAAACUUUAGGUACACAUUCUCAUUCAAAAGGAACACAAAAGGUUCUGUGUGGAAAAUGUGCUGUCGGCAUUUCGUCUUACAUCCAUCAGUUGACUUUUCCGAUGAAUAUAAAAUGAGACUAAAUCUCUAGAGAGAUUUAGAUUUAGUUACUGAAUCUCUAGAGAGAUUUGGUUUCUGUCAAACUAAAUCUCUUUACCAUGACAGUACAUAAACAAUGCACCUUUAUAUAGUAACCUGAGCUAUUUAGAAACAUUUUCCACCACGUCUUAUUGCUUGUUGGUAAUAACUUACAAAUUAUUUGAAAAGAUUCUUUCUAAAUGAUUAAAUAAUUGCUAGCAAAAAGUUACAUUUCUUCGUCAAUGCUUUGACUAAUAACCAAUAUAUCCCUUUCCAUUAAAGCUCAGAGAUCCCAUGUAUUUACUUACUAAAAAGUACCUGUAUAAAGUAUAAAGUAUAAGUAAAAGUAUAAAAGUACUGACUUGUUGGUGUCAAAUGUUAACAUUCACAUUGAGCGUAAACCGAAGCCUUUUUGUGUAAAAAGAGGAAUAUGUGCCCCUAAAAACUGAUGUUUGAUCAUGGAUACAAUUGACUGUGUUUUUAUAUGUAGAUGCCACCUCCUCACACUUCCAGAGCACAGGACUGGUUCUCAGGCUCUGCAGUAAUUUGGGGUCAUGGUUUGGGCCCCUCGUCAAUCAGCAGGUCAUUAGAGCUCUUUAAUGAGCCCCUCCUCCUCCUCAUCCUCCUUCAUUUUCUCCUCUAUUUUCAUCCCCCUCCCUUCUCUUUUUGGUAUCCAUUACCUUUCUGCAUGAUAUUCUGAGACAUUUCAUCUACUUCUCCUUGCACUUACAUUUAUAUGUGCGUCUGAUCCAUUUCUGUCUCCUUUCAAGGACUUUAUCAGAAAAAUAAAAUAAAAUUCUUGUUCUCUCUUUCCAAGAUACCUUUGUAUCUCCUUGACUUUUUACUUGUUGCUUCCUCGCCCUGUUCUGAUAUCUACUGCAGAGGAAGGGAACUGGUUGGGAGCCUUUAGGUCUGCACUACUUCACAUGUCUUGGAGAACUAUCGUCUGUGUUUUCUCAGAUAACAAAAAAAGCCUGACUCACUUCAUUCCUUUUACGCUAUCUGGUUUUCUUCAUUCAUUCUGCAUCCACCACUUUAACUCCCACAUUGACAUCUACUAAGCAGGUUUGGUUUAAAUAAAUUCAUUGGAUUCCAUCUUAACCUAUUCCUUUUUGUGAUUCACUAAAAGAAGUAACAAUUUGUCACAAUAUCAGAUUCAUCCAUGUGCUAGACAAAAUGUUUUUUUAAAUUUUUUAAUUUUUAUUUUUUUUAUCAUUUGUCAAGUGACAUCAUUCGCCAUGUAAGGUCCAAGUCCCAACAUCCCACAAGACACAGAUUUAGGCUUUCAGCUGACAGUUGCUCUGAAAUAAUGUUGAAUAUGAUUGAUUAGUUGUUAGAGGGUGAGUCACCCAAGAAAAACAAACUUUCCACUUUCUGUCUCAAUGAUACUAAAGAUUUGUUUAUGGCAAGAAUUUAGAGCUACUCCUUUGUUGUAAACUUCUAUUCACACAAAAUAUAACAUAUGGACACUGUUAUAAUAACUGUCUCUUGUAUUGACUGUAACAUUAUGUGUGGAUUAGCCUCAGAGACUCAACAGCUGUCAUAAUAAAUGUCACAGUGAUUCUUUGUCGUCUUAGCUGGGACAGAUAUUUGAUUUUCUUUUUUCAAAGUAAAUCCAGAUUUCAUCUUUCCACAUUCAAAAGCCCCAACACAUUUUCUCCAUUUAUGCUUAGCAUUUCACAUAAACAUUAAUUAUUCAAAAUAGAUUUGGAAUACAUCAGUGUACACUUUAUCCAAAAACCGUAUUCCCUGCUCUGUCAGCACUUUUUGUAUUUACUUAUGAACCAUGUUCUUUGAUUACGCCAGUGCUUUCAACACCAUCCAGUCAGAACCUCAGAGGGACAAGGUGGAGCUGUCACAAGCGGACCACCAUGCGGUUCGAAGUGGUUAGAAAAGCUCACCAGGAAGGUCAGCUUUGCUAUAACGUCCCCUCCAACAACGUGCAUGAUGCUGUUGUUAAACUGGAAAGCUCCUACAGUGACAGACUGUUGCAUCCUAAAUGAAAUUUUUUAAUUUUUAUGAAAAAUUCAUUUCUAUUCUAAUAACUGCACAGUAUUUUUUAUGUUGUAAUCUUGUACAGUAUAUUAUUGUUGCUGUUAUUGUUCAUCUUCUAUCUUGACACGUUUGGAACUGUUGUAUGAAACUUUAAAUAUCUGAUGCUGAUGUUUCACACAAAUAUUCUCUCUGUUGGACAAUAAAUGGUAAGUGAUGUGCUUGCUCACUUAAUCAAUCAAUCACAUUUUAUUUGUAUAGCACUUUUCAGCAGCAAGGCAUUUCAAAGCGCUUUACAUCAUAACAAACACAAAAACACAAAGUCAUGCAACAUAGAAUCAACAAUCAAAACAUGACAUUAAGUCAAGUGCCAUCAUUAAAUUUGUAAUUGAUUAUGUUUCAAAAGCCACGCUAAACAGGUUGGUUUAUAGUUGAGAUUUAAAGGAAGUCAGUAUUUCAGCUGUUUUACAGUUUUCUGGAAGUUUGUUAGUCCACUGGACCACAAAGCACUUUACAUUACUUUCUGUCAUUUAUCCAUUCACACACAUGCUGAUGGUAGCAAGCUACUAGAUAGAGGCACUCAGAGUCGAGGCUGCCAUGUACCAGCGCCAUUGGGCUCGCUGACCACCACCAGCAGGCACGGUGGGUGAAGUGUUUUGCCCAAAGACACAACUACAGAGGCAGACAGAGCGGGAAUCAAACUAGCAACCCGCUGAUUAUGAGACAAACUCCUACAACUGUCUCUACAAAUUCAAUCGAAUGUGUUCGGAUGCAUUUAUGUUUGUAUCAGUAAAAGUAUCUGUAUAUUAAAAAUGGAGCAGAUUUGCCACAGAACAGUACGUCUUUUUUUGGAGUGUACUUGUCUAAAAUCUAAAUGAAACAUAAUUAGCUUUAGCAAGUAUUUCUAAAUUUAGCAACAGUAUAUUAGUGUUAAUUUACCCUUCACCAAAAAAGCACAUAAACUCAUAGUUAUGCCGGACAACAUUUUCCUACUUUCGUCUUUAAUUUCUGUCUGGAAAUAAAAAUUAAGCACAAUAAUUAAUGGCAAUGAAUCUGCUGUGAGUAUGCAACGUAUGAUGUAUUUUGUGAGAGUCCCCUUUGUUUCUCCACAGCAUGUGGAAGUAAUAUCAGACUGAAAUGUGUUUGUCAUUAAAGCAGCGUCAGCAGCGCUUACGAACAUGGUCAGGAUACACAGACAAAUUAGCCCAUUUCCCUUGACACGAACAGGCGCACUAAAGUCUCACAAACACAGACAUGCACACGCCUGCACACAAGUGUUUAUACACACAAGCAAGCACAUCAAAACCAAGCAUGCGUGUGCCCCUUUUUUUUAACGAGAACAUUUCUGCCCAAUAAAAACUCCAAUAAUGACUCUCUGUGUUACUAAGUGUAUCAUGUUUUUACGGCAAGCAAAUGAAUAAAUUUAGACAAAAAUGCUCA